UUCAUCGCUACUAGAAGUUGUGUUUGUUCAGAAAAACCACAGCGUGAGAAAGGUGACUGAUAUAAACAAAUUGUGUUUGAAGAGUUAUCUAAACAAACGUCAUGGUGAACGGAUGGUUUGAUGCCUUUAGAGACAACAAUGAAGCAUCGUACUACAGCUUAUCGAACAGAACGUCUGCCGUUCAUGAUAUGCGGACUAUCAUCAUUUGUAUCAGUUUUUCAACUUUCUAUGUCGCCUUUCUCUUAAUAUUUCCUGGGAUAAGGAAGAAGAAAUUGCCAACACUUGUCUGUGUGACCGUUAGUCUCUUUAUUGGAAUUGCUAUCGUGC